CACCACGCUUUGUCACAAUCUUCAAGUCUAAGAAAGGAACUGUUGGAGAGACAUUGGCUGAGUUUGUGCAGCAGACUGAUUUAAGGAAACUCGAUGUGACAGCAAUGCGCACGCUUGUUCUUCAAGGUCUACCUGUUCUACUUGGUGAUGACCCCAGUAACUUCUACAACACCUGCUUUGAUUCUGACAGCAAUGAGGCCUGGGCACAAGUGUCUGUUGGGGUGCUGACAGUCAUCAGUGAGGAUGUGCCUCUCUCUCCAAAUCGUCUC